AACGUAGGACACAAGCGUUAUCCGGAGUUACUGGGCGUAAAGGGCGUGUAGGCGGACGUGUAAGUCUAUUCUGAAAGCUCCUGGCUAAACUGGGAGAGGCGAAUGGAGACUGCAUAUCUAGAGUGAGGAAGAGGAAAGUGGAAUUCCGCGUGUAGUGGUGAAAUGCGCAGAUAUCAGGAAGAACACCAAUGGCGAAAGCAGCUCUCUGGGACGGUACUGACGCUGAGACGCGAAAGCGUGGGGAGCGAACAGG
rnacentral:rRNA from 1 species